rnacentral:rRNA from 1 species
GAUGAACGCUAGCUACAGGCUUAACACAUGCAAGUCGAGGGGCAGCGCAGUGUAGCAAUGCAUGGGCGGCGACCGGCGCACGGGUGCGUAACGCGUAUCCAACCUUCCCGUUACUCAGGGAUAGCCUUCCGAAAGGGAGAUUAAUACCUGAUGGUGUUCGAAUUCCGCAUGUUAUUUGAACUAAAGAUUUAUCGGUAACGGAUGGGGAUGCGUGACAUUAGGUAGAUGGCGGGGUAACGGCCCACCAUGCCUACGAUGUCUAGGGGUUCUGAGAGGAAGGUCCCCCACACUGGAACUGAGACACGGUCCAGACUCCUACGGGAGGCAGCAGUGAGGAAUAUUGGUCAAUGGCCGGAAGGCUGAACCAGCCAAGUAGCGUGAAGGAUGAAGGUUCUAUGGAUUGUAAACUUCUUUUAUACGGGAAUAAAACCACCUACGUGUAGGUGCUUGUAUGUACCGUAUGAAUAAGCAUCGGCUAACUCCGUG